UUCUUCUAAUUUUGCAGCUUCACAUUCUGCUUCAGCUUCGUGUUCAGUAAACUGUGAUUAUUCACGUCCCUGCAGUGAUGUGUAUUCAUGCCUAUCAGGAUCUUGUUCAACUCUCACUGAGAAGGAUUUGCCUGCUAAAUGUAAAUGCUAUGUGAAAUGCCGUGAAGAAUUUAAUAAUCUUCGCAUAAGAAAAGACAACUGCAUG
rnacentral:lncRNA from 1 species